AAAAAUUCAAGGGCCAGAUCUCCAGGAAUGGACUGAGACACCUGAACUCUCCAGGCAUUGUGAAUCUCCCUGGGUCCUGGGAACUCUGUGACUAGGAUUAUGUGAGGAAGAUUAUGUGAGGAAGAGUAAAGUUUUCUGGUGAUCUCAGCUGAGCACAUCAGAGUAUGUUACUUUUCAAAGGAAGAGAUGACCUUGGUAACCUCCUACUGGAACUCUUGUGUUUCAUCUUUAACAUGAAACAGUCAAGCAGCGACAUAACCCAAGCCGCACCCAGGCAUACACAUGAGCUGAAGGCAAGAAUGGGCCUGUCCAACACAUGGAGCUGCAAGGAGAAAAGCUUUUAAUGUCCCCUGACGGGGAGCUCACCCAGAGACCUUCCUCUGCACACAGCAGCAACGGAGCAGGCAAUUUCAAUGGGAUUAUAUCUAUACAUUUGCUUAACUCCCCGUAAAACCCAUCCCUUAAGAACACACAUGUACAGCUGUUCCAUAGGAGGCACACCUAUAUUGCUGCAUGUCAUUAUUUAAUAAACUGGAAAUCUAGGGGAGCCCAGAUCUUUAGCCUGGAAAGUUUGAAGUUGUUUGGAUCUGACGUUUCCAUUUGUUUAAUGACAGAAACAAAGUAAUUCCAAAGUCUGUGUUUGAAGGUGGAUGACUUUUUCCUAAUUUUGAGAAGUGUCAGGACAUAGGAAUUGAACUGCCCUAUCUCAACUGCAUUACAUUAACUGGGCAAGUAUGAAGGAAUGGAUUCUCAUUAGCCAGGAUGAUUCCACAUAAAUUUAUGAUUUGCAUCUACAUAAAUGGCAUGUAAAGAAAUUAAUGCAAAUGUCCAACAAAUUGUAAAGGUUUAGAAUGUAUUUUAUCCAGUUGUUUGUUGAACAGUAUUUGCCUUUAGCCUUUCAUAGGUUGUUAAAAAAUCUGAAUGUGUAAUAACUUCCUCUGAAUGCUUCAAUUUAAGCUAAUGUACUGUUCCUUUAUGUAAAAAGUAAAGGUAUUCUGAAGCCUUUUGCUC